ACGGGUGAGUAAUGUCUGGGAAACUGCCUGAUGGAGGGGGAUAACUACUGGAAACGGUAGCUAAUACCGCAUAACGUCGCAAGACCAGAGGGGGACCUUCGGGCCUCUUGCCAUCGGAUGUGCCCAGAUGGGAUUAGCUAGUAGGUGGGGUAACGGCUCACCUAGGCGACGAUCCCUAGCUGGUCUGAGAGGAUGACCAGCCACACUGGAACUGAGACACGGUCCAG
rnacentral:rRNA from 1 species